UACAGAGGUCCCAAGCGUUGUUCGGAUUCACUGGGCGUAAAGGGUGCGUAGGCGGUCGGGUAAGUCUGAUGUGAAAUCUCACAGCUUAACUGUGAAACUGCAUUGGAUACUAUUCGGCUAGAGAGUUGGAGGGGGGACUGGAAUUCUUGGUGUAGCAGUGAAAUGCGUAGAUAUCGUAAGGAAGACCAGUGGCGAAGGCGGAUCUCUGGACAGUUACUGACACUGAGGCACGAAGGCCGGGGGAGCAAACGGG
rnacentral:rRNA from 1 species